AUUGAACGCUGGCGGCAGGCCUAACACAUGCAAGUCGAACGAGUGGCGGACGGGUGAGUAAUGUCUGGGAAACUGCCCGAUGGAGGGGGAUAACUACUGGAAACGGUAGCUAAUACCGCAUACCAUCGGAUUUGCCCAGAUGGGAUUAGCUAGUAGGUGGGGUAACGGCUCACCUAGGCGACGAUCCCUAGCUGGUCUGAGAGGCUGACCAGCCAAAAUGGAACUGAGACACGGUCCAGACUCCGACGGGAGGCAGCAGUGGGGAAUAUUGCACAAUGGGCGCAAGCCUGAUGCAGCAAUGCCGCGUGUAUGAAGAAGGCCGUCGGGUUGUAAAGUACUUUCAGCGAGGAGGCGUUACUCGCAGAAGAAGCACCGGCUAACUCCGUGCCAGCGGCCGCGGUAAUAC
rnacentral:rRNA from 1 species